AGCUUUGAGAAGCUUUUUCAUGCAAGUGCAAUAUAAAAGAAAGAUCUUAUUUCAUUGUUACAUACUGGUGAAGAGUGGACAAACUCCUUACAACAGAAGUGUUACUGAGAAGGAUAUAUUGACAUCUCUCCCCAUCUCUUGUAACUGUUUACCAUGUUGAGUGUGUGCUUUUUGUAAAGAUCUUUACAUCAAAUUGAUAGAAUUGCUGUACAAUAGUCAUGCAUGCAAACAAGAUCUGUUGAAACAUUCCAAAGCUUGCAUGUUUUAUAAUCAAAAUGGGAUGUGAAGUUUUUCUAAAGCAAGAUUUAAUAAAGGUGCUAUGAUAAUUUGCAAGAUGUGUAUGGAUGUAAGAGGUGAUUUUUACUUAACUAAAAGCAGUCUUGAUGCACUGCAACACUUUGUAAUGUUGAUAACAAGAGCAUGUUUUAUGACUUUGCCAAGAGGGCUUUCAAUACAUCCUGUGAUUGUGAACACUUGAAUCUCUGACUCUUGCAUCCAUACACGUUGAGUUGGGCAUUGACCUCAGAAUUGCUAUCCGAUGCAGUGAUAUUAAUGGAAAAAACUAAGGAGAGAAGUGCCAAAAUAUUGUCAACUGUUUAUUAUGCCUUCAGUGAGACACAAUGUUACAAAUGGUCUUUGUUGUUAAUUUUAUUGAAAUAUGUUGAUCAAGAUUGCAGAUGUAGUAUUUUAAAGUUUAUGUAUACCUUGACAGUUGGAUUUUAUGUCAAUAAAGUGUUGGGCAUCUGUGCUCU
rnacentral:sRNA from 1 species